GAUGAACGCUGGCGGCGUGCCUAAUACAUGCAAGUCGAGCGAACGGACGGGAAGCUUGCUUCUCUGAUGUUAGCGGCGGACGGGUGAGUAACACGUGGAUAACCUACCUAUAAGACUGGGAUAACUUCGGGAAACCGGAGCUAAUACCGGAUGAUAUUUUGAACCGCAUGGUUCAAAAGUGAAAGACGGUCUUGCUGUCACUUAUAGAUGGAUCCGCGCUGCAUUAGCUAGUUGGUAAGGUAACGGCUUACCAAGGCAACGAUGCAUAGCCGACUUGAGAGGGUGAUCGGCCACACUGGAACUGAGACACGGUCCAGACUCCUACGGGAGGCAGCAGUGGGGAAUCUUCCGCAAUGGGCGAAAGCCUGACGGAGCAACGCCGCGUGAGUGAUGAAGGUCUUCGGAUCGUAAAACUCUGUUAUUAGGGAAGAACAUAUGUGUAAGUAACUGUGCACAUCUUGACGGUACCUAAUCAGAAAGCCACGGCUAACUACGUG
rnacentral:rRNA from 1 species